rnacentral:lncRNA from 1 species
CGGAAGAUGUGUUUUUUGUUUAAUAGUCAUAAUUUGUAGUUCUUUGCAAUUAACAGUAAAUCUAACAAUAUAAUAAACUGAAGAUUUAGGAUAUGGCGACCUACCUGUUUCCCGCCGGACGGUGACCUACCCGUUGACCCUAAGGCGGCGUCGGAUCCCAAGUUCACCGGAAGGCGGCGCUUGAUCUCGGUGCGGCGGAAGAGCGGCGGCCAGCACAGGAGCUCGGGGC